AAUAGAUAAUUGGAUAAGAGAAGUUAACCUGUGGUGUCCUGAACUCCAAGUCUUAUUUUAUUAUGGGUCUCAGGAGGACAGGAGGCAUCUGAGAAUGGAUAUCCAUAAUAAAGUGGUGGAUUUCAAUGUGAUUGUAACAACGUAUAAUUGUGCAAUUAGCAGUGCAGAAGAUCGCAGCCUGUUCCGACGAAUGAACCUAAAUUAUGCAAUCUUUGAUGAAGGUCACAUGUUGAAAAACAUGGGUUCUGUACGCUAUCAGCAUCUGAUGACUAUUAAUGUAAGACUUUCAUUUUGUGC